AAGCCGUAGCAUAGGCCUAGCUAGCUAAGCUAGGCCAGACCAGUGGCUGCUAGGCCUACCUACUAGGCUAGUAGGACGGCGGUGCAGCAGCUGAUGAUGCAGAGUUCGAUAGAAAAAGAACAUGGUAGAGUAGUGGAAAGUACCUAAAUGAAGAUGG